AUGAACGCUGGCGGCGUGCCUAAUACAUGCAAGUCGAGCGAACGGACGAGAAGCUUGCUUCUCUGAUGUUAGCGGCGGACGGGUGAGUAACACGUGGAUAACCUACCUAUAAGACUGGGAUAACUUCGGGAAACCGGAGCUAAAACCGGAAAAUAUUUUGAACGGAAUGGUUAAAAAGGGAAAGAGGGCUUUGUGGUAACUUAUAGAUGGAUCCGCGCUGCAUUAGCUAGUUGGUAAGGUAACGGCUUACCAAGGCAACGAUGCAUAGCCGACCUGAGAGGGUGAUCGGCCACACUGGAACUGAGACACGGUCCAGACUCCUACGGGAGGCAGCAGUAGGGAAUCUUCCGCAAUGGGCGAAAGCCUGACGGAGCAACGCCGCGUGAGUGAUGAAGGUCUUCGGAUCGUAAAACUCUGUUAUUAGGGAAGAACAUAUGUGUAAGUAACUGUGCACAUCUUGACGGUACCUAAUCAGAAAGCCACGCCUAACUACGUG
rnacentral:rRNA from 1 species